rnacentral:lncRNA from 1 species
CCUUCCCAGUAAAGGAAAAAGAAUGUAAAACCUUUCUCUGCUGCCAGUGUCAGUACAACUACGGCAUGAUUACAUCCCCAGGGCCAGUCAAGCAGAUAAAAGAGUUGUUCAGCAUGGGACUCUGUUCCAAGCCAGUUGCUUUGAUACAUACAUUUCUGUUCAUCCAAAGCUUUCUGCGUUGUAUCUUCAGAUCUCUUCAUGCUCUGUUUCUUCUUAUAGAUCAUCUUCAGUGCUGUACAUAUAGUCCUCAUCCAGGAAAUACAGCAUCACACACAUAAGAAGCUUCUGAAAUACUUUUUAUGUGCCCAUUUACAGUAGGUAGUGAUUCCGGACUUAUUUUUUUCUACUUCCAAAACUUCACAGCAACAGGCAAGAAAUUGUAUCAAACAUUAAGGAGGUGUUGAGUUUUCACCAAUAAGCUAAUUGCUGUGUGAUCUUUUCUCCAUGCCUCUAACGCUAAGAAGCUAAAUGUUUCCCAGGUACCAAAAGAAAAUAUAUGUUGCCCUUUGAAGAAUUUUCAUAUGUGCAGCUGGUUAGACACAAUGCUGGGUGAGGACUGAAAAACAAGUUUUCUGUAGACUGUCUCUUAAAGACAGCACGUAUCUUGUUGGGGACUGAAAUAUUAGAAUCCUAGUGAAAUAUCUGGUUCUCAUACUAAUAAAGUGACUCCUGUCAUGUAUCUUCCAGCCAUAGGUGGCUUGCUUUUGUACAACUAUAAAGUACUUUUUCCUUCAGGUAAAAAAAAUUCCUGUGGAUGAAAAUAGCAUCACAGGCACAUAUGUUGAAAAGAUCUAGACAAUAACCUAGAUGCAUGGCAGAGUCAUCAAAGAUAAGAAUCCUGUCUUUUCCUUCCAAGACAAGAAGGGGAGUGAACCAGAGAUUGAAGCUUUCUGUGGUAUUUAAGCAGAAGUCACAUCAGUUGCCGAGAGGGAGGAUCUGCAAGUUUUGGCACCCAAACCUUCUGACUAGGCUGAGGGACAGAGCUGACAGAGCCGCGAGGACGAUGCCUGAGGCCCUGGGGCACAGCAACAAGCACAGUUGCACACCAGCAAGGCCAGAGCUUGGAGCAUGCUGGGGAAACUCAACCCAGACAAUUGCAUUGGGCCUGAUCCUGCCGUCAUUUGUAGAGAGUGACAGAAAAUAGGGAAGGUAAGAACCUUACAAGGAGACCUGGCCCAUCUGUCUUCAGCCUGUCACCCUAAAGAGCAGAUUUUACUACGUGGUGCUUUUCAUUUGCUUUGAAUGGCCAUAUAAUAACACAAAUCUUUAUGUUAAGUGCUGGUAAUGCAGAAAACAGUCCUACUGUCAUGCUCAUUUUGCAAGGAAGUUUAGGGAUAGUUUAGAUAGUUGAGACAACUCAACUUCCAGUUACAUAUUUGAAUAAAUCUUCACUUUACCAAGGCUGCUUUUUGUUU